UAAAUGUAAAACUAUGGUCCAUAUGUCAUU
rnacentral:piRNA from 1 species